UCAAUAGUCCUAACAAAUUAUUUGUGUUUUUUUCAAAAAAAAAAAAAAUUGAAUAUGGAUGAGCAGGAGGCGAAAACAUCGUGAACAGAACAACUUUUUAGCUAAGUUCUACAUCAAGCGUUUUGAGGAGUUCAAGCAUAAUAUAAAGAACUCUUCCAAUAAUUGGAGCAUGGGUGUUGCAAUAAGGAAAUUAUCUAAUUUCAUGUUUGAGCAACGACGGUUGACAAAUGGAUGGCUGAGAUGGAGUUGAUUGGAGCAUGUGGACUUUAUUGAACAAAUAUGUAUAUAGCCAUGUAUAGAAGUUUCUUUUUAAAUAAGUAUGUUUUUAUUUUGUGGUAGUUAACCAAUUCCAAUAAUAAGUACACUUAAAUGUGCGACGCCCUGGCCUCCCAUUACGUUUUGGCUAUUAAAAUUAUACAUAUUUGUAUAUAUCAAUGCAUAUUUUUGU